UACGUAGGGGGCAAGCGUUGUCCGGAAUUAUUGGGCGUAAAGCGCGUGUAGGCGGUCCGGUAAGUCGGUUGUGAAAGUCCAGGGCUCAACCCUGGGAUGCCGAUCGAUACUGCCGGACUAGAGUCCGGAAGAGGCGAGUGGAAUUCCCGGUGUAGCGGUGAAAUGCGCAGAUAUCGGGAGGAACACCAAUGGCGAAGGCAGCUCGCUGGGACGGUACUGACGCUAAGGCGCGAAAGCUAGGGGAGCGAACAGG
rnacentral:rRNA from 1 species